rnacentral:tRNA from 1 species
GCUCUCGUGGCGGAACUGGCAUACGCGUAGCGCUUAGGACGCUAUCCCGCAAGGGUUGCAGGUUCGAGUCCUGCCGAGAGCACCA